CCUACGGGAGACAGCAGUGAGGAAUAUUGGUCAAUGGGCGCGAGCCUGAACCAGCCAAGCAGCGUGAAGGAUGACUGCCCUAUGGGUUGUAAACUUCUUUUAUAAAGGAAUAAAGUGAGGCACGUGUGCCUUUUUGUAUGUACUUUAUGAAUAAGGAUCGGCUAACUCCGUGCCAGCAGCCGCGGUAAUACGGAGGAUCCGAGCGUUAUCCGGAUUUAUUGGGUUUAAAGGGAGCGUAGAUGGGUUGUUAAGUCAGUUGUGAAAGUUUGCGGCUCAACCGUGAAAUUGCAUUUCAUACUGGCCGUCUUGAGUACAGUUGAGGUAGGCGGAAUUCGUGGUGUAGCUGUGAAAUGCUUAGAUAUCACGAAGAACUCCGAUUGCGACGGCAGCUUACUAAACUGCCACUGACAUUGAUGCUCGAAAGUGUGGGUAUCAAACAGGAUUAGCUACCCGAGUAGUC
rnacentral:rRNA from 1 species